rnacentral:rRNA from 1 species
GACGAACGCUGGCGGCGUGCUUAACACAUGCAAGUCGAACGGUAAGGCCCUUCGGGGUACACGAGUGGCGAACGGGUGAGUAACACGUGGGUGAUCUGCCCUGCACUUCGGGAUAAGCCUGGGAAACUGGGUCUAAUACCGGAUAGGACCACUGCCUGCAUGGGUGGUGGUGGAAAGCUUUUGCGGUGUAGGAUGGGCCCGCGGCCUAUCAGCUUGGUGGUGGGGGGAUGGCCUACCAAGGCGGCGACGGGUAGCCGGCCUGAGAGGGUGACCGGCCACACUGGGACUGAGAUACGGCCCAGACUCCUACGGGAGGCAGCAGUGGGGAAUAUUGCACAAUGGGCGCAAGCCUGAUUCAGCGACGCCGCGUGAGGGAUGACGGCCUUCGGGUUGUAAACCUCUUUCAGCACCGACGAAGCGCAAGUGACGGUAGGUGCAGAAGAAGGACCGGCCAACUACGUGCCAGCCGCCGCGGUAA